UAGCUCUAGCCCGUGCUUUGCCGGCUCACUGUGCGUUAGCUUUAACAGUGAAGUCUGUGGGGUACACAGCAAUUUCCCUCUCUGUAGAGGUGAGCUGUUCUGAGCCUACAGCUGACUCUUAAAGGCAUGAGAGGACAAU